rnacentral:misc_RNA from 1 species
GAUGAAGAACGUAGCGAAAUGCGAUAAGUAAUGUGAAUUGCAGAAUUCAGUGAAUCAUCGAAUCUUUGAACGCACAUGGCGCCUUCCAGUAUCCUGGGAGGCAUGCCUGUCCGAGCGUCGUUUCAACCCUCGAGCCCCCGUGGCCCGGCGUUGGGGAUCUGCCACGGCAGGCCCCUAAAACCAGUGGCGGACCCGAAGGCCCUCUCCUUUGCGCAGUAGCAUCAGCCUCGCAUUGGGAUCGCUCGGCGUCCUGCCUCUAAACCCCCCACAAGUCCGCUCCGGCGGCACCAAGGUUGACCUCGGAUCAGGUAGGAAUACCCGCUGAACUUAAGCAUAUCAAUAAGCGGAGGA